UACGGAGGGGGCGAGCGUUGUCCGAAUUUACUGGGCGUAAAGCGCGCGUAGGCGGUGAGGAAAGUCCGCUGUGAAAGCCCGAGGCUUAACCUCGGCGGGUCGGUGGAUACUUCCUCUCUUGAAGGUGCUAGGGGGAGAUGGAAUUACCGGUGUAGCGGUGAAAUGCGUAGAUAUCGGUAGGAACACCAGUGGCGAAGGCGGUCUCCUGGGGCAUUCUUGACGCUGAUGCGCGAAAGCUGGGGGAGCGAACGGG
rnacentral:rRNA from 1 species